CUGAACUGUAGUGGAGAAGUACAGAGUAGCAUAACAUUGAAAUACUCAAGUAAAGUACAAGUACCUCAAAAUUGUACCUAAGUACAGUACUUGAGUAAAUGUACUUAGUUCCUUCCCACCUCUGCCUCUGUUCUAUCUGAUAAUGCCCAGCCUCAGGUGGAGCUCCUCCUGUUUGUAGAGGAGAGUUCCCGUCAGAGGAAAGCUCUCUAAGGCUCAGAGGCUCAGAGCGGGGCGUCCCUGCCGGAUGUUUCCACAACUUAAUCCUGUCAGCUGUUUAUCUGCAGACUGCCCCCCCCUGUGGGAAGAGCCAGGAAGUGCUUCUACCGUCAUAGGAAACUCUUAGGUCGGGGCUGUUCAAACUGCGGCCCGGGACCAUUUUGAAACGGCCCUCAGCAAAUUAAAAUAGUAUAAUGAAAUAUGGCCACAAAUCAAACUUGUGCUUUUCAUAUAUUGUACUAAUUAAAUAUAUAUGUACAAAUAUAAAUACAGUAUGUAUGUGUGCCCACUUUUCAAAUAACUUCAAUCCAUUAAAGUUGGAAACAUUUUCAAACUAAUCGGAGUUGAUAUAAAAAGCCCAAUCACUUAUUUGUAUAAGAAGCUUCUGUUUUACGGCAUGAGCUGCAAACUCAAUAAAGUAAACAUUAUUUAGAGCGGUGAGGAAGGCUGUUUCUUCCAGCAUGUUCAAGUGUCACGCUUCAUGUACCCACAUUUCAUUGAUUAGCUGACUUAUAACUGAACUGAUAAACCUCCAGGAGCGGCCGAGCCCUUCGUAUGUUUUUCUGUACGUAGCCCUCGGAGAAAAAAGUUUGGACACCCCUGUCUUAGGUUAUCUUUAAAAUAUAAAGGAUUACUUCCACUAUUCAAUAACAACUAUUCACUUCCCUUCAUACCUUAGCAUUUCAUCUCAACCUUUUAUUCAUUAUUAUUAUUAUAUAAAAACUAUUUAAGUCCCUCGUUUAAUCAUCUUAUUAAUUACUUACAGGUAAUUAUUGAAUAUGACUAUUAGCUAUUUAUUCAAACUGUUUAAUCAUGACUUUGUUUCUAAUUAUUUGUAUCUGUUCAAUAAUUACUUUUAGCUUAUUUUAAAAACUGUUUUUAUUAUUAUUUAUUUUAUUAUUAUUUGUACUUUUUAAUAUUUACUUUUAGCUGAAUAUUUAAAUGAUUUAAUCACUACUUUACUCUUUAUUUUAACUCAUCAAAAGUUGCUUUAAACUAGGAAGUGCUUCUGCAGCCAUGGGGACUUUUAUGUCGUCAAAUAUCUAAUAUAUUAAAUAUAAAGGCAAGUUUAUUCAAACAGCACUUUUCAACACAAGGCAAUUCAAAGUAAUCAUUAUUUUUUUCUAAUUAUUUUAUCUGUUCAAUAAUUACUUUUCACUUAUUUUAAAAACAGUUUUUAUUAUUAUUAUUUGUACUGUUUAAUAUUUACUUUUGGCUGAAUAUAUAUAUAAUUCAAAGUGCUUUACAAAAAUAAAACAUAUUAAGAAAAUGGCAUUUAAAAACAGUCAUUAAAAAGCGAAGUUAAUAAAAUAAACAUUAAAAGAAAAAAUACAUGAAUUAAAGUCACAGUGCAGUUUAAGACUUUUUUAAAGGAUUAUUUCCACUACUUAAUAAUAACUUUCCAACCACUUCUCUUCAUACCUUACUGUUUAUCAUUACUGUUAUAUAAAAACGAUGUAACCCUUAUGUUGUGUUCGGGUCUCCCGCGCCCCGUUUCCAGGUCAAAUGAUAUAAUAACUACGCUCUAGUUUCUUGUAUCGAAACAACACUACAAAACUCAUUUUGACCAUUUUAGCCAAGUCUCUAAAAAAAAAAGUGUAUAAUUUGGUGUUGGGGUCUGGGGAGACCCCGCAGAAUGUUGUGGGUGACUCGAGGUCAAAUGUGGCCCACUCAAGAUUCAUCUUUGACUUUAGACACCCCCCCCCCCCCCCCCUUCUUCCACUGUAACAAUCAUUUAAAACUUUUUUUGGGGAGAUUAUAUUCUAACAUUAGUCUAUUAUAGUCAGAUAACGUCUGUCUUCACUAUAGGAAAUAUAAUGAUUUAAUUGAAUCACAUACUUAAAUAUGUGGUCUAAUGUUUAACAGGAUUGUACGGUUAUGAAUGCAUAAUAAGUUAGUUUUGAUGUAGUUAAAAUAAUAUUGGAUGAUAGUCGUUAUGUUUUUGUGUUUUGAACGGAAACAGCUUUUCAACACAACACAAGGGUUAAGAAAUACUAUUUAAGUCUGUCGUUUAAUCAGCUUAUUAAUUUAGCUGUUCAAUAAUUACUUUUAAUAGUUUUAAUAUGACUAUUAACUAUUUAUUCAAAGAGUUUAAUCAUUACUUUUUUUCUAAUGAUUUGAGCUGUCCAAUAAUUACUUAUUUUUCUUAAACAGUUUUUAUUAUUAAUUAUUUUAUUUGUAUAAUUAUUUCAAUAAUAGUUUAAACAUAAUAUUUAUUAUAUUUUAAAUGUUUAAUUAACUUGUAUCUAAUUACUUUGCCUGUAGUUAAUAAUGAUUUACCAUUGCUUUACGCUCAGUAUUUAUUGUAUAUGUGUUUGAGAAGGUUACUGGUUAUUAUGUCAGUAAAUAUAAAUCAAGAGAUCUUUUCAGUAAAUGUGCUAGAGGUCAGUAUUGCAAAAGUAUUUUAUUUCCCUCUUAAACACAAAUAUGUGAGUUUAUUCCUUUGAAUGUAAACUGUGAAUCAGGGACUUGAAGUGAAAGGUUUAUCUCCACAGACUUCUGGUUCUGCAAGAGCUCCUCUGCCCCCUCCUUCCUUUGUGAUAGAACAUGUAAAAAGUGAAAUGUUGUAUGAGUUUGUUUCUGAACGAGUUUGCUUUGUAUCUGCUCACGUCUCCUCUGGGUCCCUGGAUGUUCCGGACGUUUACCCAUUCAAGAUAUCUCCCCCACGAGGAAGAUCCGAAACUUCGAGGAGGCUCGCGGUCUGGAUCGUAUCAACGAGAGGAUGCCGCCGCGAAAAGACGGGAAGACACCCGACAGCAUCAACACCAACAAGAACGGCACCGACGGAUAGGGAACGGAAACACCUUCCUCUCCAUUUCACCUCCCCCUCUUCCUCUCUCUGUCCUCCCCCUCUACUGAAACUGCCUCCCCCUCCUCUUCAUCGAUAGAAAGACGAGGGAAAGAAGCGGACUCGUCGGUAGAUCAAACGCAGGCGUCGGCGCUGAGAAACAAACAGGCGCUCUAAAGGGAGGGAAAGUAUUUAUUAAAGAUUACAUAUAUUAGAUUUAGUAGCGACAUUCAAUGAAGACACUUUGCAGGCGUAUCUAAAAGAUUAUUUUAUAAACUUGAGUUGAGACGGAUAGAUGGAUCCAAGGAGUUUUAGUUUCCUUUUAAAAAUAAUUGUUCUCCAUGUGUUUUGGGAAAGAGCACAGGUAACACUUCCACAAACAGAUCAGUGUUCUACGGUGGCCGACAGGUGCGAACAAACAAAACUCUUCCAUCAGGAGAAAUACGCUGCAGCUUCAGAAAGGACGCAGAUAUAAAAA